CGGUCGGACACUCAUGUGCUGCUUUGUCUAGUUUGCAAUCAGCUAGUCAAUUCGUCGUUGUCGUUCCUGUCCAAGACCAACUCGAUGAUUUCCCAAUCUUGAAAAUAAACAGACAACAUACAAACGCCAAACUGUGUAAUUUAAGAGCAUCGUUACAUAAUCAAUCAUCCAUAGUAUCAGAGGAAAUCUGAAUAUUUAGUAAUGAAUCAAGUAAAUGUAGUGUAUUCGUUAUAAACAGUGUGAAACUUGGUUGAAUAAAUUCUUUAAAUGUGAUUGAAAGAAUUAAAGUAAUUUGUCGAUCGUGGAAGAAAUAAUUGAAUUUUUGUACUAGUUCCGUUGAACAAAAAACGAAGUGAAUCUGCGAAUAACAUUAUUUGUGAAAUAGAUUCAUUUUUAACAACAUGUUUGUACAUGUAAGUUCAGAGGGUAGUGUAAUUCGAACACACGAGGCAAAUACAACGGUGAUAGUAUCAAAAUAUAUCAGACUUACAUAUUAUCAGUUUGAUUGUUUCAUGUGUCCAGAGUUUAUACACAUAGCAGAGUAUGAGAUUGGCUGAUCCUUUGGCUGAUUGGGUUUCAACCUGAUCAUCAGAUUCUGUAUUUCCAUACAUGUCACAGAUGGACUACAGAGAUAAUAAAUAGAUUCAGUCAGAACGAGUUACUGUUUUCAGAACAGAGCUGUUAAGUUUAUCGAUUUGAUCGACCCACGCGGGUUUUGCGAUUCUUUGAUCACGAAAUAAAUCUGCAUGCUGCCUGCCAAUAAUGACAAUGCCUGUCAUUCCAAGGUGGUCUCGGACUUGGUCUUGACAGGCAGGCUCAGUCGCAAAGAACACGUGAGAAGAUCGAGACAUCUGUGGAGAUACAGCAGCAGCAGCGGCAGCAGCAGCAGCAGCAGAAGCAACACCUUCUCACAAUGAAUCAUGCGCUAAAUCUGGACAAUAUAAGGCAUUGGAACUGGGUUAAACUGUUGCAUUGACCUAUCGAACUGACAAUGAUUCACAAUAUAUUGUUGAUUUGACACUUUUCCUAUAAAUUUUAAGAUUAUAGCCCAUUCAUAUCUAUAAUAAGGUAACUUGGAAUAUUAGUUCAUUUGCCGUGACGAACAUUGUUUUAUUCCACGAUGAAUGUCGAAUGAGGGCUGACAAUGUUUCUAUUGUUGUACAUGUAAAAAUUACAUUAUUCUUAAAUCUCAAAUAAAAUAUUUGUUUGAAAGUUGCAAAUGAUUUCUAUUGUACGUAGUAUCUAUGAGUUUGUGAACUGUUAUUUCAUAUUUUCACUAGUUAUUGGAUGGAACAAGCUACAGUCAAUAACAACAGAAGAGUCUCCAAUCUACUGUAGACGAGAGAUUCAUGAAUCUGGUAUCUACAUUACUGUCUGUCUUUAGUGACGAAUCGAAGGAGGCACUUAUGUCAACGCAGCAUCAAUGCUACCACGACAGGCUUGUG